rnacentral:tRNA from 1 species
GGGAGUUAGCUCAGUUGGUAAGGGGCUUGGCUUAUAAGCAAGAAGACCCAAGUUCCAUUCCUAGAACUCACA